GCUGUAGUUUAGUGGUGAGAAUUCCACGUUGUGGCCGUGGAGACCUGGGCUCGAAUACCAGCAGC
rnacentral:tRNA from 1 species